CAAUACAGCCCCUAAUGAAGCCUAUGUUGGUAGGGACGUGUGAGUGUGGAUGAAUGCCAACAGAAGGAAAGAAAAGG